rnacentral:rRNA from 1 species
UACGUAGGCAGCAAGCGUUGUUCGGAGUUACUGGGCGUAAAGAGUGCGUAGGUGGUGCCCUAAGUCUGUUGUGAAAUCUCCCGGACUUAACGUGGGAGGGUGCGGUGGAAACUGGGGUGCUUGAGUGUGGGAGAGGUAAGCGGAAUUCCUGGUGUGAGCGGUGAAAUGCGUAGAUAUCGGGAGGAACACCAGUGGCGAAGGCGACUACCUGGCCUGUUCUUGACGCUGAGGCGCGAAAGCUAGGGGAGCAAACGGGG